AANAUCCGUCGACUUUAUAAAUCGUGAGGGUUCAAGUCCCUCUAUCCCCA
rnacentral:tRNA from 1 species